AUUACCGCGGCUGCUGGCACGUAGUUAGCCGGUGCUUUUUCUGCAGGUACCGUCACUUUCGCUUCUUCCCUACUAAAAGAGGUUUACAACCCGAAGGCCGUCAUCCCUCACGCGGCGUUGCUGCAUCAGGCUUGCGCCCAUUGUGCAAUAUUCCCCACUGCUGCCUCCCGUAGG
rnacentral:rRNA from 1 species